rnacentral:lncRNA from 1 species
GUUCAUACCGUGCGGUGACCUCACCCAAUGACAGAAGGGGUAGCGAGGCACGCAUCGUGUUGUUGCCAUCAAGGGUAAAAAGAUGGGGUUUACAUCAUUGAUUUGAGUCUAUCCCUCUACAUCAUGCCAUCUUGCUUAAGGCGUUACUCUGUUCGUCAUGAACUCAAUACACUAGAUGCAUGAUGGAUAGCGGUCAAUGUGUGGAGUAAUAGUAGUAGAUGCAGAAAGUAUCGGUCUACUUGUCUCGGACGUGAUGCCUAUAUGUAUGAUCAUUGCCUUAGAUAUCGUCAUGACUUUGCGCGGUUCUAUCAAUUGCUCGACAAUAAUUUGUUCACCCACCGUAAUAUUUGCUAUUCUGAGAGAAGCCUCUAGUGAACACUAUGGCCCCCGGGUCUACUUCAC